ACUGCAAGUCGAACGCGAAAACCCCGCAAGGGGUUAGUAGAGUGGCAAACGGGUGAGUAACACGUGGGUGACCUGCCUUCGAGUGGGGGAUAACGUCCCGAAAGGGACGCUAAUACCGCAUAACAUCCUGCCUUUGAAGAGGUGGAGAUCAAAGCUGGGGACCGCAAGGCCUAGCGCUCAAAGAGGGGCCCGCGCCUGAUUAGCUAGUUGGUGGGGUAAUGGCUCACCAAGGCAACGAUCAGUAUCCGGCCUGAGAGGGCGGACGGACACACUGGGACUGAGACACGGCCCAGACUCCUACGGGAGGCAGCAGUGGGGAAUUGUUCGCAAUGGGCGCAAGCCUGACGACGCAACGCCGCGUGGAGGAUGAAGACCUUCGGGUCGUAAACUCCUUUCGAUCGAGACGAAUAGCCUUCGGGUGAACAAUCCGGAGGAUUGACGGUACCGAGAGAAGAAGCCCCGGCUAACUCCGUGCCAGCAGCCGCGGUAAUACGGGGGGGGCAAGCGUUGUUCGGAAUUACUGGGCGUAAAGGGCUCGUAGGUGGCCAACUAAGUCAGACGUGAAAUCCCUCGGCUUAACCGGGGAACUGCGUCUGAUACUGGAUGGCUUGAGUUCGGGAGAGGGAUGCGGAAUUCCAGGUGUAGCGGUGAAAUGCGUAGAUAUCUGGAGGAACACCGGUGGCGAAGGCGGCAUCCUGGACCGACACUGACACUGAGGAGCGAAAGCCAGGGGAGCAAACGGGAUUAGAUACCCCGGUAGUCCUGGCCCUAAACGAUGAAUGCUUGGUGUGGCGGGUAUCGAUCCCUGCCGUGCCGAAGCUAACGCAUUAAGCAUUCCGCCUGGGGAGUACGGUCGCAAGGCUG
rnacentral:rRNA from 1 species